rnacentral:rRNA from 1 species
CCUACGGGAGGCAGCAGUGGGGAAUAUUGCACAAUGGGGGAAACCCUGAUGCAGCGACGCCGCGUGAAGGAAGAAGUAUUUCGGUAUGUAAACCUCUAUCAGCAGGGAAGAAAAGGACGGUACCUGACUAAGAAGCCCCGGCCAACUACGUGCCAGCAGCCGCGGUAAUACGUAGGGGGCAAGCGUUAUCCGGAUUUACUGGGUGUAAAGGGAGCGUAGGCGGUUUAGCAAGUCAGAAGUGAAAGCCCGGGGCUCAACCCCGGGACUGCUGUUGAAACUGUUGAACUUGAGUGCAGGAGAGGUAAGUGGAAUUCCUAGUGUAGCGGUGAAAUGCGUAGAUAUUAGGAGGAACACCAGUGGCGAAGGCGGCUUACUGGACUGUAAAUGACGCUGAGGCUCGAAAGCGUGGGGAGCAAACAGGAUUAGAUACCCUAGUAGUC